rnacentral:rRNA from 1 species
UACGGGGGGAGCAAGCGUUGUUCGGAUUUACUGGGCGUAAAGGGCGCGUAGGCGGCCACCGCAAGUCGACUGUGAAAUCUCCGGGCUUAACUCGGAAAGGUCAGCCGAUACUGCGGGGCUAGAGUGCAGAAGGGGCAACUGGAAUUCUCGGUGUAGCGGUGAAAUGCGUUGAUAUCGACCGGAACUCCGGUGGCGAAGGCGAGGUGCUGGGCCCUUUCUGACGCUGAUGCGCGAAAGCCAGGGGAGCAAACGGGG